rnacentral:rRNA from 1 species
UACGUAGGGUGCGAGCGUUAAUCGGAAUUACUGGGCGUAAAGCGUGCGCAGGCGGUUUUGUAAGCCGGAUGUGAAAUCCCCGGGCUUAACCUGGGAAUGGCAUUCGGGACUGCAAGGCUGGAGUGCGGCAGAGGAGACUGGAAUUCCUGGUGUAGCAGUGAAAUGCGUAGAUAUCGAGAGGAACACCAGUGGCGAAGGCGAGUCCCUGGACAAAACCUGACACUGAGGCACGAAAGCUAGGGGAGCAAACAGG